rnacentral:sRNA from 1 species
GAGCUGGGUGUGCUGGGGACUGGCCGCGGACCCCUAACCUGUGUCUCCGGUCUCCCUCCGGGAGCGGCUCAACCCAGCCCAUCGCUCUGGCCCCGUUCUGGCCCUGCAGGGUGGUGGCUGGGACGUUGAAAUGAGCGCGCGAGUGAUUGGCUGGUGGACAGAAGGCACUGCAGCCUGAAAUGGCAGAGUCUGGUGCUGACGAUCCGCGAGAAGAUCAAUGCUGCCAUCCAGGACAUGCCAGAGAGCGAAGAGAUCGCCCAGCUGCUGUCUGGGUCCUGUGAGUGCUUAGGGGCUGUCACUGGAGUCCCCUCUUUGCUGAGGUAGUAUGUAUCAGCUGAGCUACUCUCUUGUUAUUUAGCCACCAGGGCUGGCCUUUAGAGAGGGAGCGAUUUUUAUUUGAGGUAUAGAUGCUGGCUUCUUCCACUAUGAAAUGAUUUAGGGAAAAGCUACACACUAAAGUUACUGGCAGUAUAUUAUACAUG